rnacentral:lncRNA from 1 species
GGCUUCCCCCCUAGAGUCUCAGAUCCAUUUGAGCAGGUCCUGUCUCUGAAGUCCAGGGCUCUGCCUCCAGCUCCUAGGAAAGUACCCGGCACAAAGAAGAGGCUCCAUAACUAUUUUUUAAUUGCAUUGAAAUGAAGAUUUGGGAUUUGCUUGAAUGGAGUCAGCAAAUGCCAUCAUCAGAGGAUGCUAUUUCAGAAGAGAAAAAUAGAAAGGAGGUGUGCUCCUAAGGGCUCCUGCCUUGGAGAGUAACUCACAAGGCCAGCCCAGAUUCAAGAUGAAAGGAAAUGGAUUCCAUCUCUUGAUCGAUGGAGCAGCACACACAUACAGAGAGAGAAGAAAGUGAUGGCCGCCAUAUUUGGAGAUUCCACCACACAUACUGUACUCUACAUUGUCACGCAGUUCUAAGAAAUUUCAAUUCACCACCAGGAAUCCUGAUUGAGCAGCUUCCCUCCAUGGAGCAACUUUAUGACUUAUUUUGCAUCUUUUUGAUAUUGAAAAGGUUGGAUGGCUUUCUGUUGGGGCAUACCACCUGGCAUCCCUAGACUUCAUUCAGAUGUACAGUUGAAUCAAAGACAAAGACAGUGAAUGGAGAAUCUAAAAUGAGGACUCAGAGUUCUCCAUUGUCCUAUUAUUGCACAAAGGAUGUCUAAAGAAAUGCCUAACGUCAAGGAGCAGGGAGUUAACAGCUGGGCACUCCCUUUCUUUAUAGCUCUUCUCCAGCUCUCCCCUUGCUGCCACAUGCAGGCCACCAUCUUCUAGCCAUGGAUUGAUUGCUAAGGGAGUCAGGUGGUGGGGUAGGUAUUUCUAAAUUAAAAGCCUAGGGAGAUUAUUCUAGCUCUCUGGAAAUAAAGGCACAAAAAUUAUUUUACUACUUCCAUUUCAUUUUAACAAACUGUGCUCAUUCACCUCCUGCUCUGUAAGGUGAUAAGAUAGAUAUUAUAAAUAGACAACUAAAUGUGAUCAAUCUACAGUAAAAGUCUAGGUAAACCGCUUGAGAAACUAAGAGGCAAAUGAGAUUGAUGAGACCCUCAGAAAGAUGUUGCCACAAAUAAGCCCUUUCAUGGGUUUAUGAAGGAAAUCUAUGGAUUAAAAAAGCCUCUGGGAUAAGCUCCUCAAUGUCUCACCAUUCUGCUGCUGAACAGCAAAAGGUUUGUUCCUCCUUCAGAUGCAACAGUAGCAGAGCUUAACUCAGAUAAUACAAAGAAUCUAAUAUUAUCUCAGACACAUCAUUAAUAUCAAAGUGUUUCCUGAGGAAAAGCACAAAUCAGAGUCAGCAUCCACUGGCUUUUGGGCUUUCCCAAAUGUCAAACACUUCAGGGACAAUUUCCUUCUUUUUUCUCCUGUUUUACAUCCCUGAAAUGGACCAAGGGCACUUUUUUUUUCACCUGUGAUUCAGUACUGAUUCAUUUUUUUCUCUAUUUCAUGCUAUUACCUUUGCUAUUCUCUUUGGCUGAAGUUGUCUACCUUAUCCUAUAAUUUUCUGAAGUUUAGACUUUCCCUACCAGAUGACUUAUUCAAUAGAAAAUGGCAAUUAUACGCGGUUCAUUUUAUUAAUUGUAAUCAAAGUAUGGGAUCAAGUUUGAAAUAUUGGCUGUAUGAAUGAAACUUCAGGGUCUCUGAAAAUGUGACUCACUGUAGCUGACAAUUGUUUAGCCAGGGUGCAGGGUCCAUAACCUUCCCUCCUUCAUUCCUUUAACCUUCUGCAUAUAAACAGAUGCCAUUAGAAUGUUGUGUUGGUUGAUGGCAUAACUACUCACCACACUGGGACACUUUUGAGAGAGAAAGAAAGCACUAAAAUAAUUAAUAAGCAUUAAUUGAGCUCCAGCAGGUGUAAACUGGUACUGUCCUGGACAAAUCAAGGUGUAAAGCUAUUUAAUUAUUGCAUAUCCUGAAGCAUUCUUGUAAUGGCCGUCAUCUGGCCCAGUGAGCCAAGGCUGUGUCUGACCUGCUGAACCAGGUCAAACAAACUGUAGGACUGUACAGAGUAUAUUUUCAUUUUUAUGCACAGAUAAGGCUUUCCAAGCAAAGGAAACUAAAACCCGGUUUAGAGGACAAACCUUAGAAGUUAAAGGGUGUUAGAUCUGAAGCCAUCUGUUCCCAUUAACAGGACAAAUAAAAUUUAUAUCUUCAGGAGCCAAAUAUUUACAUUCCAGGGUAGGAACUUUCCCCUUUCUCUUCCUGUAAGAAUUUAUUUACAUUCAAAAGACUAUAAAUGACUAGGGAGCACAGAUUUUUCUCUUUCUCUAAGAAAGAGGGAGGGAAAAACAGCCAUCAUGCUCCUACAGAAACGGACAGAUUCAUAAUUUGGGGGUUCCUCUUCUGUGGUGCAAAAAGCCUCUUUUGUACAUGCAUGGGGAUUUUGAUGGGGAUUAUAUUGAAUCUGUAAGUCAAUUUGGGAAGUAUUGUCAUCUUAACUAUAUUAAGUAUCGCAAUCCAUGAACAUGAGAUGUCUUUCUAAUUAUUUAGGUCUUUAAUUUAUUUCAGCAAUGUUUUCUAGUUUUCAGUGUACGUAAGUCUUGCUCUUCCUUGGUUAAAUUUAUUUCUAAGUAUUUUAUUAUUUUUGAUAUUAUUGCAACUGGAGUUGUUUUCAUAAUUUCCUUCUUGAGUUGUACAUUAUUGGCUGUACAAAAAUACACCCAUUUUUGUACAUCAAUUUUAAAUCCUGAAAACUUGCUGAAUGAACUCAGUUAUUGGCUCAGGUUUUUGGUGAAUUCUUUAGAGCUUUUUUUAAAUCUGUAAGACCAUGUCAUCUUCAAAUAAAGAUUGGUUUUAUUUCUCUUAAAUUGAUUUUAUUCCUUCUCUUCCAACCUGAAUGCAUCUUGUUUCUUUUCUUACCUAAUCAGACUGGCUAGAAUCUUUAGUAUAAUGCUGAACAGAAGUGGUGAGAGCAAAUUGUGUUGGCUAGAACCUCUAGCAUGAUGCUAAACAGAAGUGGUAAGAGCAAACAUCCUCCUCUUCUUCCUGAUCAUAGGGGAAAGCUUUAAGUCUUUCACUUUUAAGUGUAUUAGCUGUGGGUUUUUCAUAGGUGCCCUUCAUCAAAUUGAGCAAAUUCUCUUCUUUCCCAGUUUGCUGAGUAAUUUUUUUAAAAU